CUAGCCAGUUCGUCUUGUGUGAUCGUCUGUGGUAUUGUGUCUGUAUGGGCAACGGUAUGGGACUGACGCAGUAAUGAACACUGUAGGGCAGUAGUAUUGUUGUGUGGUUGUACUGGUUUAUAGCUAUUUUUAGAACAAAUUUAUCCGCACCUCAAGCUACCUACUAGCUGUGGAAACAAAUUGACGUUCAAAGUAACGAAAUUACGCCAGACCUCUGGACUUACCAUGCUGAAGUUUAUUGUCGCAUUUGGAGUUGGUGUGUAUACUGGGUUAUAUAUCAGCCAAAACUACCAGGUUCCUAGAGUGGAUGAGCCCCAAGAGUUGUGGCGGAAAAUUAAAGAAUUUACAGAUCCCUACCGCAAGCCUCCAGAUAGCUGAAUUGACUUCAUACAUGUAAUUGCACUGCAAUAUUGUUCAGAAACAUUGUAUAGAUAGACAUUUUAACCAUGUGCAAGGAAUUUUUUGUGUUUUCAUUUCCUUUCUUCCUCCGUCUCAAAUAUGUGGUGUCAUGUCAUGGCCAUUAGUUGACUUUUUUUUUACAGAACUUAAUCUGGGCAUGUGAGUUCUCUUCACUGGUCACACAUCAGAGCUUUUCAAUGAAAAUGGAACUAAGUUUAAGCAAAAACGAGGAUCCAAUGAGAAACGUUCCACGCAGAAUGCACGAAGCAGUCUAUCCUUGGGAAAAAAAAAACUCCACCAAAUUAUCUCUUCGUAAAUAUGAGGAGGAGCGUUUGCUAAUAUGCACUGAUGUACUUGCACCACUAUAUACUUCCUGAGUAAGAAAGCAUGCCUUGAAUGUUACAAAUUUGUAGGUGCCAUAGUAAUGCACAUAUCGAGUUUCUUUCUGCCCAGAAUUCAAAGCACUGUAUGUUACAUAACAUUAUUGCUUUAUGUUCUGUGUUAUCUUUAGUAAAUUGGUGAAUUGUUGGCUUGGGAUAUAAACUAUUGUGGUUGUACGAUUGUAAUAUUGCUAGCAAAACAUGGCUCUAUGCCAAAGCAUGUAGGUGGGCCAAGGUUGCUUGGCCUGCUCACCGAAGUAUUUUUGGUAAAUAAAACUAAUAUUUGCAUUGUCA